AACUUAUAUACUUGGUUUUAGGUUGGGGCGACCACGGAGCACAACCAAACCUCCACGAUGAACGGAACAACCCCCUUAUCUGAGAAUUACACUUCUAAGAAUUAGCACACUAACAUAAAAUGACCCAUUAUUGAUCAACGAACCAAGUUACCCUGGGGAUAACAGCGCAAUCCAUUUUAAGAGCCCCUAUCGACAAAUGGGUUUACGACCUCGAUGUUGGAUCAGGAUAUCCCAGUGGUGCAGCAGCUGCUAAAGGUUCGUUUGUUCAACGAUUAAAAUCCU
rnacentral:rRNA from 1 species